rnacentral:lncRNA from 10 species
GUCCGCACUAAGUUCAGCAUCAGUAUGGUGACCUCCCGGGAAAAGGAGACCACCAGGUUGCCUAAAAAGGGGUGUACCAGCCCAGUUCAGGAAUAGAGCAGGUCAAAACUCCCAUGCUGAUCACUAGUGGGAUCAUGGCUGUGAAUAGCCACUGCUCUCCAGCCUGGGCAACACAGUGAGUGAGAAUGUGUCUCUUAAAAAAAGAAGUCUCAUCGACCAUAGACUAAUUAACUAUUUAAUCAUGGGAAAUGAUUAGGGGAAAGACAUAAAAAGAGAAACUGUAAUCCACUUUUUUUUGCUCUAUCGCCCAGGCUGGAGUACAGUGGCUUGAUCUUGGCUCACUGCAACCUCCGCCUCCCGGGUUCAAGCAAUUCUCCUGCCUCAGCCUCUGAAACAGCUGGAAUUACAGGCAAGCGCUGCCAUGCCCUGCUAAUGAGAAAUUGUAAUUCUCAUAGAGGUCCUCCCAGAGGAGUAGAAGAAGGUUGAAAGGCACUUCUGUAUUUAGUCUUCUCAAUAUUAAGGCUGGGCCCAGUGGCUCACACCAGCACUUUGGGAGGCCAAGGCAGGUGGAUCACUUGAGAUCAGGAGUUCAAGACCAGCCUGGCAAACAUGGCGAAACUCCCAUCUCUACUAAAAACACAAAAAAUAGCCAGGCGUGGUGGUGCGUGCCUAUAGUCCCAGCAAUUUGGGAGACUGAGGAAGGAGGGUUACCUGAGCUUGGGAAGAGGAGGUUGCAGUGAGCCAAGAUCACGCCACUGCACUCCAGCCUGGUCAAUGGAGCAAGACCCUGUUUGGGUGGGGAGGGGAGGGGAGUGGACGGGAGAGGAGAAAGGAAAGAAAGGAAAGGAAAGAAAAUAGAAAGAAGGAAGGGGGAGGGAAGGAAGGAAGGAAAAAGAGAGAGAAAGAAAAAGAAUGAAGAACGAAAAUAAAAAUUUUUUAAAAACCUAAGGUUAAAAUAAACCCUUUUUCUUCAUACAUAAACACAUGAGUUCAAAUUACAGCUUUGCUGCUUAAUAGCUUGGUGACCUAGGACAAGUUAUAUAACCUCUCUGUGCCUCAGUUUCCUCAUUUAAAAAUAGGGCAAUAAUAAUAUCUACCACAUAAGGUGUUUGCUGAUCACAAAUACCUGGCAACCCAGUAGAUACUCACUGUAAUAAUUAUUAUUUUUAUAAUUUCUGCCUAAGUACAAAGAUGAUUCUUGGGUCAACCUAAAGGCAGAUUUUC